rnacentral:rRNA from 1 species
AGUCCCGCAACGAGCGCAACCCUUGUCCUUAGUUGCCAGCGAGUAAUGUCGGGAACUCUAAGGAGACUGCCGGUGACAAACCGGAGGAAGGUGGGGAUGACGUCAAGUCAUCAUGGCCCUUACGGCCAGGGCUACACACGUACUACAAUGGUCGGUACAAAGGGUUGCGAUACCGCGAGGUGGAGCUAAUCCCAGAAAGCCGAUCCCAGUCCGGAUUGGAGUCUGCAACUCGACUCCAUGAAGUCGGAAUCGCUAUUAAUCGCAGAUCAGCUAUGCUGCGGUGAAUACGUUCCCGGGCCUUGUACACACCGCCCGUCACACCAUGGGAGUUG